rnacentral:rRNA from 1 species
GUCUCAAAGAUUAAGCCAUGCAUGUCUAAGUAUAAGCAAUCUAUACGGUGAAACUGCGAAUGGCUCAUUAAAUCAGUUAUCGUUUAUUUGAUGGUACCUUACUACUUGGAUAACCGUGGUAAUUCUAGAGCUAAUGCAUGCUAAAAACCCCUUCGGAAGGGGUGUAUUUAUUAGAUAAAAAACCAAUGC